rnacentral:rRNA from 1 species
GUUUGGUUAAGUUAGAAAGGGCGCACGGUGGAUGCCUUGACACUAGGAGUCGAUGAAGGACGGGACUAACGCCGAUAUGCUUCGGGGAGCUGUAAGUAAGCUUUGAUCCGAAGAUUUCCGAAUGGGGAAACCCACCAUACGUAAUGGUAUGGUAUCCUUAYCUGAAUACAUAGGGUAAGGAAGACAGACCCAGGGAACUGAAACAUCUAAGUACCUGGAGGAAGAGAAAGCAAAUGCGAUUUCCUGAGUAGCGGCGAGCGAAACGGAACAUAGCCCAAACCAAGAGGCUUGCCUCUUGGGGUUGUAGGACAUUCUAUACGGAGUUACAAAGGAACGAGGUAGACGAAGCGACCUGGAAAGGUCCGUCGUAGAGGGUAACAACCCCGUAGUCGAAACUUCGUUCUCUCUUGAAU